rnacentral:lncRNA from 1 species
CCAUAUAAGUAUGGUGAGUUCUUGUUGAGUACCAUCUGUUUCUGAAGUAGGAGAUAAACUGCCCCCAAUUGCAUACUUAUUGUUGGUUUGAAUAAACCCGGAGCAAAGAUUGUAACAUCCAGUUUUUUGAUAUCCAUCACUCUUCCAGUAGAUGAACAGCCUCGUGUUAGUGUCUCCGUAGAUCAAUGGAUACACCUUUCUAUGUGGCGAAACUGGUGGGUUGUGUUACAUAA